rnacentral:rRNA from 1 species
AAUAGAUACCCUGGUAGUCCUAGCCGUAAACGAUGAACACUAGAUGUUGGUGGUAUCAACCCCGCCAGUGUCGUAGCUAACGCAUUAAGUGUUCCGCCUGGGGAGUACGGCCGCAAGGCUGAAACUCAAAGGAAUUGACGGGGGCCCGCACAAGCAGCGGAGCGUGGGGUUUAAUUCGAUGCAACGCGAAGAACCUUACCAGGGCUUGACAUGACCAGGGAUCCGGCGGAAACGUCGGCGCCCCGCAAGGGGCCUGGCCACAGGUGUUGCAUGGCUGUCGUCAGCUCGUGUCGUGAGAUGUUGGGCUAAGUCCCGCAACGAGCGCAACCCCUACUGUGUGUUGUAUCACUCACACGGGACUGCCGAGAGAAACUCGGAGGAAGGUGGGGAUGACGUCAAGUCAGCAUGGCCCUUACGUCCUGGGCUACACCCACGCUACAAUGGCCGGUACAACGGGCUGCGAAACCGCGAGGUGGAGCUAAUCCCUUAAAGCCGGUCUCAGUUCGGAUCGUAGGCUGCAACUCGCCUGCGUGAAGCCGGU